rnacentral:lncRNA from 1 species
UAUGGGUUACACAUGUACUACAAUAUAAGUGUGUGCAACUAUUAAAGAAAAUAUCAUCAUUGAAGGUCAAACAAGGAGGUAACAUUUCGUUCGAUUUGAUCCACAAAUAGAAAACAAUGGUUACAUCAAAUGUUAAUGAAUCGUGUCAUCAACAAGAAACUAGGUAAAUAUAAACAUUUCUUCAUUUUUAUUUAAUUGGAUCAUAAAGUGUGCAAAAUAUUACAUAAAGGUGUUUUAAAAUGAUUGACAAUUCAAAGCACGUGGUAAAUUUCUUCAAGCUUUCUGUUGCUAAUCGACAUAUAUAUGUUAAAUUACGUUCUUCUGGGUUUUUUUAAUGCUGCAAUGAGUUAUGAUAUAACAAAAUAUGAAUAAAUGUGCAUUCGUGAAUUAUUUGUUUUAAACAAGGUUAUUUAGUAUUUUCAAUUCAAUUGUAUCCUACUAUCUAUACCGAGGCAUUUUAAAGCCUACUAAACUGUAUCGGUUUGCACAUUAUUGACGGCCGUAAGGUUGCUUAUACUUGUUUAAAAUCCACUUCAUUGAACUUUGGUGAAUAGUUUACGCAUUGGCAAUGUAAUUUAUAAAAUUUAUAUUCUAAUUCGACAAACUUUCACGAAUAUAAGUUAGUUAAUAAACGAACCACACGUUCAUAUGAUAUGUGUGUCUUAAUAUGUAACAGCAUUUCGGUAAAUUGUGCAUACAUGGUUUUUUGGAAGAAAAUAAUCUGCAUAGCAUGCCCUAGAAUUUAAAAUUUCAAGUGCAAUGUAUGUUUAAAAAAAAUAUUAACAGGAUUUUUGCAGUGCACUUUUGUUUGUCCUUGUAGAAGAUGUUAGAAUAAACGAACAGCUGAGUAAAUUUUACUUGGUAUUGUCCACUCAAGUACAGGCUCAUGCACAUAGUUUAAAUCACUGAUUAUUGUCUGGUCCCUCUAUGGAAAGACCCUUCAAUUAUAACUUGAUGGGAGGUUCUAAAACCUCUUUCCCUACUAAGUUUACUUUGGCAACUUCUGGAGGAAUGAGAAAAGCGUCCAUUGCAAAAUCCUGUUAAUCUUCUAAAACAUAAAAUAGAUAAAACCAAUAAUAGUAUACCGCUUUUCGAAAGUCAUAAACCGAUUGUGAGAAAACAAAUUCGGGCUACAAACUUAAACUGAGUACCUUGAUGUCUUAAUUUUUUUGCAGAUGCACAGGAUUGUCAGUACUUGAAGUAAUUUGUUGUUGAAAAAACAAUCAUCUUUGCCAAAGGGUCCACAUAAAUUUUAAUAUAUUCAUUUCUUGAAUGGAGGCAUGCAAAAAACAACCAGCAUAUAAAGUAUACAUACAAUCAACAAUAUCUAUCUACAAAAGGGAAAACAAUACAUAUUGAUAUAUGUUUAUAUAAUAGUAUACCAAUGCAACAUUAACAGGUUGGUAAACAUCAUUACUAGCUUCUACUACAUUAACUGGUAGACAAACUUCGAGCAACUUCAAAGUCUUCAACGAAACCUUAAUACUUAAGUACACGAAUCUAAUGUGUUGCAUAUACACUUAAAACCAUGUGAAAUAAACUCAAAUCAUGUGCUUAUUAUAAACACAAGCAUGUGUUAACAAUCACUUGUCCGUUACUAAAUCUUGGGGUCAAUUAUAUUUAUACAAGUAAAUAUAUUUAGUGUACGUGUAUUUUUAAAGGAGAAUAAGCUACGAAAUAAGAAACAAAUUAAAAUAUGAGUUUGUUUGUUUCAAUCAUAAAAAAACGUGGCAUAAUGAAAUAAUAGUUCACUUUUCGCAGCCAAUUUAGUUCCAUUUUGUCAAAAUAAGCAAGGAACCAUCGACAAUGAAAUCUACAUUUGCAAGUAAAUAGAUCAAUCUCGUUAAAUCCGUAGAUAUGAGACCAUAAAUUUAACCCAAAAGAUCGGUUACACAUGUAUUGGUCGUGUUAAGCAACCAAAAUGAAAAAAUGUAAACAUCGAAAGUGAAACAAAUGUAAACCAUGUCGUUGAAAGAUCAAUAAAAUACCUUUCUUAUACAGGUAUAAGCGAUAACGUAUUUAUUUUUAAACCUUUAUCAAUCCUUGGAGGUCAUUUUAUAUAGUUCAUUGGAUGGCGUCUUGAUUCAAAUACGAAAUUUGGGUCUAUUUUUGCCGAGUACAUGCUUUGGUAACUGAUAUCUCAGAAUAAUUGUAAUGUGGGCGUACGGUUUUGUAUGUUAUAAAUCAAAUAUAAGAAUCUUUAUCAAAUAAGUGAACAUGAAUUUUACAGCAAUUUCCCCCUUUAAAGAUUGUCAGUUCGCUGUUUCAAUUCACAAUGUUUCAAAGACGAAAAAAUUUUAAUCUAACAAUUGAAAAUUAAUUAAAAACCAAAGAAACCAAGGGUUUAUAAUGACUCAGUUGAAGUCUUUUGCAUUCUCAAUCACAAUUUGGUGUACAAAAAAGUUGUUGUUGUUACGAUUCCUUCCUCCUUUCCUUGGUUGUAACACAUCACUGAAUGUAUCUUCCUUGGUUGUUUCAUCACCGAAUGUAUCUUAUUACACGUGAUUAUAUUCGCAACUGUGUACUCUUCUUGUAGAACCUGACGUCACCUCCUCAUUUUGAUGAAAUUAGUUUUGCUUUAUUGUUUAUCUUUUGGUUAAAUGUUGGAUACAUUGUUGUUAUUGGACGUUAAGUAACCAACAAUCAAUUGUAGUCGUGGUGUUGUCAAUUUUCUACGAUUUAAUUUCUUCCGUGACAAUACAACCUUUUAGAUUGUCAAUGUGGACCAAAUUUAGCUCACGGUUUCAUUUGACGUGUAUACGGAGGAACCAUGGUUAGUUUAUCAUAUACAAUUGACGAAUAUACAUGAAAAAAAGGGUCCGGUAUGUUUGAUAAACAUUAACAUGAUUUUUUUCUCAAAAUAGCUUUGAUUUGCUGAUUUCUUUUUGAAAUGAUAGGUAUAAACUUCUUUACAUGUGCUGCUUACCGAACUAGUUGAUUCCUAAAGUUAACUACGAUUCUAGCUGGUAAUUUGUUCACCUCUCUUGAUGAUGAUGUUGAUAAUGAUCAAAAUUCAAAUAUUUGUAUUUCAAAUUUUAGUCAAGUUUUCAUACUAUUACAUGCUCUGAAGAUAGUGUACUUUAAGCACUUUCUUUGCAGAAACCCUAUUGCAGUUUAUCCAUUUUACCGAUAUGGAAAAAUAACAAUACUAUCUACACCUGCAAUAAAACAAGACGGAGCAAAAGUAAUUCAGUCAAUAGAAAAGUUUUAUUCAAGAGAAACAGAUGUAAUACUGUGUUCAUCCAUGAAAUCAGGUUUGGAAAAUUAUGUUCAAGUAAAGAUAACAAACACUAUGAAUUAAUUGUUUAACUAAAUUCUAUCAUAAACAGCAGGAGUUGUCUUUUUCUAGAUUUCUCAAGGGAAACUCCAUACUAAAUUUUACGACAAAAGAAACGAUUUUUCAUUCCCUAUUGUUAAUCUUCCUUUUUUAGACGGCGAUGUUCUUUUAGCUCCAUCAUACGGUGUUUAUAUAUUCCAACUCGUUCGAUAUGCCGUGUGUGUAGUGAUGUCAUAGAUUUUAACGAACGUAAUCAAUGCAUCAAUAGUAGAGUAUGUUCAUUGGAAUAUUACACAUCCCAACAGACAAGGGCAUAGCGAACGAGAUGUGGUAUAUAUGCACCAUAAGAAAAUUAACAAUUGGGAACAAAAAUCAUACAAUUUGUUGUAAAUUAUAGUGAAGAGUUUCCAGUGUAAAGUUGAAAUAGCUAAAUCUAGAAAAGGACAGUUAUUACCGUUUGCAUUUGAUUUAUUUAAAUUAAAAAAACUUUGGGAAAUUUUGGAAGUAUGUUUAUAAAAUUCUAAAUUAUUUAACGAAAAAAUGAUCAUCUAAAUAAAAGUUAGUUUUGUUGAAUUUAUAAUUUAAAUGCAAUAAAAAUAGGUCUUUUCUGGGUAUGGUCAUAAACUGUGAUUCAAAACAAUUUAAGAACACGUCUUGUAUCAAAGGGGCACAAUUGGUGCCCAUUAGAAUACUUACAACCUGUCGAUAAUGUAUAUUGCAGAAACAUAUUAUCAAGAAGAAAAUAAACAGCAC